UAAUCGCGGCGAUAUAAUCGCGCACGAU
rnacentral:sRNA from 1 species